rnacentral:rRNA from 1 species
UACAGAGGUCCCAAGCGUUGUUCGGAUUCACUGGGCGUAAAGGGUGCGUAGGCGGUCGGGUAAGUCUGACGUGAAAUCUCCAAGCUCAACUUGGAAAUGGCGUCGGAUACUAUUCGGCUGGAGGAAUGGAGGGGAGACUGGAAUUCUCGGUGUAGCAGUGAAAUGCGUAGAGAUCGGGAGGAACACCAGUGGCGAAGGCGGCUACCUGGACCAGCACUGACACUGAGGCACGAAAGCGUGGGGAGCAAACAGG